UACAGAGGUCUCAAGCGUUGUUCGGAUUCAUUGGGCGUAAAGGGUGCGUAGGCGGCGCGGUAAGUCGGGUGUGAAAUCUUGGAGCUUAACUCCGAAACUGCAUUCGAUACUGCCGUGCUUGAGGACUGGAGAGGAGACUGGAAUUUACGGUGUAGCGGUGAAAUGCGUAGAUAUCAGGAGGAACACCGGUGGCGAAGGCGGGUCUCUGGGCAGUAACUGACGCUGAGGAGCGAAAGCGUGGGUAGCGAACAGG
rnacentral:rRNA from 1 species